rnacentral:pre_miRNA from 1 species
GAUCUCAUGGCCUGAUCCAAAGGCCAUUGAAAUCAAUGGGAGUCCUUCCAUUGACUUCAAAGGACAUGGGAUCAGGCCCUCACUC